UUUAAAUUAACCAUAAUUUAUUUCUUUAUAUGGUAUAAUAAAAUCGGAGGCCACGACUGUUUACUAAAAACACAAUUCAGAGCAAUGAUUAAGAUAAUAGUAUUCUGAAUGAAAUUUGCUCAAUGCCAUUAAUAUAAGAGAGGUAAUUUUAAAGUUACUAAUUGAAAGUCUGGUUAAUAGCGGUCUUAACUAUGAGGAUCCUAAGGUAGCAAAAUAAAUUGGCCAUUAAAUGUGGUCUAGUAUCAAUAAUGUAACGAUGGUCUCACUGUCUCUACA
rnacentral:rRNA from 1 species